AGAUGUGCGAACUCUUUUUAUCGUUCUUGGUGUUAGCGUUCCACUUUGUAUCCUAAUGGUCGCUUUAAUAAUCGUAUGCAUUUACCAUCACAAAAAUUCCAAUCUUACAAGAGUAAUUGAUAUCAUGGAGACAAAUUUGAAAAUGAAGGAAUACAAAAACCUUCCUUGUCCUCACGAAGAAAAGAAAGGGAUUGAAAAGGAUUUCGUAAGACCUGCAUGGGUUUACUAAGAGCGGGGAGCCUUGAACUGAAAACGCAAAUCAUCAAACAAAACCGAACACUUUAUAGUUUAUAGACAUUUCGAGUGUAACAGAAUUUUUUUUUAGUCACUUAAAAUAUGUUACUAAAUAAAAAAAGGGAAAUAAUUAUUUUGUGCACAAAUCUGUAAAUUGAACUUAUCGAAGAAUGUUUCAUGGUAAAUAUUUCACUUGAAAGAGUGUUAUGCAAUACUUUGUUGAAAAUAUAAAUGUCACUGUUUUAUCACUACCACUAU